rnacentral:rRNA from 1 species
UACGUAGGGGGCAAGCGUUGUCCGGAUUUAUUGGGCGUAAAGCGCGUGUAGGCGGCCACACAGGUCCGCUGUGAAAACUCGAGGCUCAACCUCGAGCUGUCGGUGGAAACCGUGUGGCUAGAGUCCGGAAGAGGAGACUGGAAUUCCCGGUGUAGCGGUGGAAUGCGCAGAUAUCGGGAGGAACACCCGUGGCGAAGGCGGGUCUCUGGGACGUAACUGACGCUGAUGCGCGAAAGCCAGGGGAGCGAACGGG